rnacentral:rRNA from 1 species
UACGGGGGGGAGCAAGCGUUGUCCGGAUUUAUUGGGCGUAAAGAGCGUGUAGGCGGCCUGGUAGGUCAGCUGUGAAAACUCGAGGCUCAACCUCGAGACGCCGGUUGAAACCAUCAGGCUAGAGUCCGGAAGAGGAGAGUGGAAUUCCCGGUGUAGCGGUGAAAUGCGCAGAUAUCGGGAAGAACACCCGUGGCUAAGGCGGCUCUCUAGUACGGUACUGACGCUGAGACGCGAAAGCGUGGGGAGCGAACAGG